rnacentral:piRNA from 1 species
UAUCUGGUCUGAACGCCUACAAUAGGGCUU